rnacentral:rRNA from 1 species
UACGGGGGGGGCAAGCGUUGUUCGGAAUUACUGGGCGUAAAGGGCUCGUAGGCGGCCAACUAAGUCAGACGUGAAAUCCCUCGGCUUAACCGGGGAACUGCAUCUGAUACUGGAUGGCUUGAGAUUGGGAGAGGGAUGCGGAAUUCCAGGUGUAGCGGUGAAAUGCGUAGAUAUCAAGAGGAACACCGGUGGCGAAGGCGAGUCCCUGGACAAUUCCUGACACUGAGGCACGAAAGCUAGGGGAGCAAACAGG